rnacentral:rRNA from 1 species
GACCUCAAAUCAGGUAGGACUACCCGCUGAACUUAAGCAUAUCAAUAAGCGGAGGAAAAGAAACUAACAAGGAUUCCCCUAGUAACUGCGAGUGAAGCGGGAAAAGCUCAAAUUUAAAAUCUGGCGGUCUCUGGCUGUCCGAGUG